UGAAGGAGUUGGUCACGGUCUUCCCGGGGGUCUUGGAGGUCACCACGAAGUCCAUGCCCUUCUGCGUGAUCUCCGUCACAGGCUUGAUGUCCUUGGCCAUCUUGAUGACUUCCUCGGGGAGUUCUGGAAGGCCUCAUAGUUCUCCUGUGCAUAGACCUGCCAUGUUCCAUUGAAGUCCAUGUUGACCAGUAGGAGGCUGAGACAAGCUGCGAGGGAAGUGAACCUCAACUGUGCGGGGAGAAUCCGCCCGAGCCCGCUCUCUUUUAUACUCCCCUGGCGAGGCGUUUAAUUAGUAACCCCGUCGGACGUUGUUUGAACAGCCCCGAGUUCAUUUGCUCCUCGAAUAGGAGCGAAGCAAAGAUGGUGAUUACGGUUCUUUGCAGCUGAGAGGUUCACUGAUACAUGACGCAGAUGCGACAACUCGACAUUGGUGGGAAGUAAUGACGCAGAGGUACUUCGUUAUUGCACUUGAGUUUACUUUUCAGAGCCACGAACCUGGGAACUUACAAGUCGGAACGUGAACCAGGGAGCAUUACCGGCAACAGACCUAGCAAUAUUUCAUGUAUUAUCAAAGUAGAUAUAUUCUCCCUGAGUGUGUGUUCAUGACUUUAUGUUGCUAUUCCAUAAGUGUAUAAUUAUUCAGUUGCUGGUUAAGUCUGUGAUGUAUCCAAGUGUUAUGUGCUAUGCCAACUUUGGUGCUAUGUUAUCUUAGCAGGUGCUACAAUUUAUUGCACCGAAAUUGGGCUUAUAUAAGCAACGUGAUGCGUGGCCAUCAUCUUUGUGAAAUGUUCUAAAAAAAUAUGGAAUGAACAUUUUCAAAGGCCUCUAAAAUCAUCCAUAACAAUGAUGAGUAAAUUACCCAUUCUACUGCCCAUGCUGCUCCUCUACCAAAUAAUGCUUUUUAGGGCCAAUGACGCAGUUUGAAACAAGUUCAUUUGGCGGACAACUUGGGUUUUUGGCACAUUUGAGUUUAUUGUUGGAUAUUUUUAACUGAAACCUGUCAGCCAAUCGGAGAAUGGGAUCCUAGAGUAGCAGAUGAAAUGGAAGUGCUGAGGAGAUAUGCUUAAAAAUAAUUUGUGCUGUUUUUAGGACUCAAUUUUGUGUUGGUUAAAUCGGAAAAAAAAAUCAUGAAAAAGCCUGAAGCAAAAAAAAAAAAAAAAAAAAAAAUUCCAAAUCCCACUCUUCGUUUUCAAAAUUCUUGGUGUAUUGUACUCAUGGUGAAGUGCAAUUUUUCGCCAAUUAUUUUUUAACAAGUAUCUGCACUCCUACUUAAGUCGACUGUGAGUAUUUUUGCCACCUGUGUAACCUGAUGAGAAAAAAAACCUCAAGAAGCACAAAUCUCAGACGGCUAACAUCAACAAGUAACGCACCCACGUCCACAUGGUAAAGUAUUUUAUUUCAAAAGUAAUCAGUACACACUGCAUUUCCUCCAAUAGUUUCCGUUUCCAAGACAUACAAAUAAAGACUUCCCGUUUCCCAUAUGAAUUUGUAAAAUAUCUCAGUUCACAGACAUUUUUGUUCUACUGAGCCCAUUUGAACUUGCUAACCAAAACAGCAGCCACUCCCGAGGGAUGUAAAUAGUCCUUUAAAGCUACAUGAUUUAUUCGUUUCACCCAGUCAUUUCCCGGAAAUACUGUUUGAUAUGCCACCCAUCCAUCCAUUUUCUGUACCGUUUAUCCUCACUAGGGUUUGUGGGCAUGCUGGAGGCUAUCCCAGCUAUCCUUUGGCAAGAGGCAGGGUACACCCUGAAGUGGUGUAGCCUGGUGGUAUUAUUUUUAAAGAGUUCUGUUCCGAAAAAAAAUUCUACUACCAAGGCGACUUCCCUUAAAGGUGUCAACCACUACGGACAGGCGAGGGACAUCAUCAUCAUCAUCAUCAUCAUCAUCAUCAUUCAGCGGACACGCCCGUAACGUUUGAAAGUGGAGACAGUGCCUUGAUUUGUAAUAAUUCCGAAGCCUAUUAGGUGAGUCUUUUUAUUAUUCAAAUUUGUCAUGUUAGUAAAAACACUUUUGGGGGUGUGUAAAAUUUAGAAAACAUUCACUAUCAAGGACGGCACGGUGGAUCAGCUGGGAAAGCGUUGGCCUCAUAGUUCUGAGGUCCCGGGUUCAAUCCUAGAUCCGCCUGUGGGGAGUUUGCCUACAUGGUUUUCCUACGAGCACUCCAGUGUCCUCCCACAUCUCAAAAACAUGCAACAUUAAUUGCCCAUAGGUGUAAUUAUGAGUGCGACUGUCUCUGUGCCCUGCGAUUGGGUGGAAACCAGUUCAGGGUGUUCCCCGCCUCCUCCCUGUUGACAGCUGGGAUAGACUCCACCACUCCCUGCGACCCUUGUGAGGAUAAGCGGCUAAGAAAAUGGAUGGAUUUUACCAUCAAUUUAGGGGGAUUUUAGGUAUUAAAGAGACAAAAAGACAAAAAAUAAAGAUUUGUGGCAAGCACAUUACCCUUACAGUUUUGAGUUUGAAUCUAUGGAUCUCGAAUUCCAGUCAGACGUUGAUGUGUUCUAUGUGGGUACUCCGGCUUCCCACAUUCCAAAAACAUGCAUGUUGAGGUUAUGUAAAACUCUAAAUUUGCCUUAGGUGUAAAAGCUCGUUUAUUUAUUUGUAUAUAUUAAAAAAAAACUGCCUUGCGAUUGGCUGUCGACCAGGGCCUAUUCCACCUCUUGCCCAAAAGUCAAAUGAGACAGGCUCCAGCUCGCCUCGUGUGACCCCAAGAAAGACAGGCCCAAAUGAGAAAGUUUGGAUUUACACACGUCUGCAACCUUUCCCCGUCUGCGGUGCCAUUGAACCUCCUAACGUGACUCCGGUGGGGUGAACGACCCCACGGACAGUUUGCACUUUUAAAGUACAAACGGACUUCAUCUUCUUUAUGUUCCGAAUUUGUUCCCUCACAAAACCGUGGCCUUAAAAGUAAGGUGCACACCAAGCCGGGACUUUUUGGCGCACUAUUACAUCACCCAAAAUGGUACCAUCUGUCUUUCAUCAUCUGUGACCCAAGAAGCUGCGUGCUAAUGAACAAACACAAAUGUAAUGUUCCAUUAUGUAUUUUUGUUUAGUUUGCACUUGUUGAGUGACAUUCUAGGAAUCACUCGCGUUGGAAGCCUUGUGAUAAAGAAGAAGCUCGACCAAGCCACAGCAUUUGCACAUUUGGCCGGACUGCACCAAACAUACAAUGAUCGAUAACAGGUGUGGGUAAAUUUAGGACCAAUUCAGUUUUUGUCCAAUUCAUGAAUGCUGUAAUAUUUGUUACAAUAAUUAUUCUUUUUCUAAGAUCGAUUCAAUAAAAAUAAUUGCAUUCAGCUAUUUUAUUUAAAAAAAUGGUUAAUUGAUUUAUUGAAUGCUGUAAACAUUUUACAUUUAUUAUUGGCUUUCUUGGUAAGUUAAUUACUUGAAAAUUACAUUUUUUAAAUAAAAUAAUAAUUUACGUCACUAUU